UACGUAGGGUGCAAGCGUUGUCCGGAAUUUAUUGGGCGUAAAGAGCUCGUAGGCGGCUCGUUGCGUCGGCUGUGAAAACCCGCAGCUCAACUGUGGGCUUGCAGCCGAUACGGGCGGGCUGGAGUUCGGUAGGGGAGACUGGAAUUCCUGGUGUAGCGGUGAAAUGCGCAGAUAUCAGGAGGAACACCGGUGGCGAAGGCGGGUCUCUGGGCCGAUACUGACGCUGAGGAGCGAAAGCGUGGGGAGCGAACAGG
rnacentral:rRNA from 1 species